UCUAUUUUGCUCUCAUCUUAUUUAUCUGUUUGUUCUGAUUUUUAAUUCCAUUUUAGUUUCUGCCUUGUCCUGAAUUUUCAAAACUAUUUACAUCUUUAAUUUUUAUCAAAUUCGAAUUCCUUGUUUUGUGUUAAUGUGUAUGGUGUUAAUGCGUUAGAAUUUUGGCAAAUGUCUAAAGAGAUUGCACCCUAGUAGUAGUUGUAUUUGUGUUUGGGGAUUUCAAUGUUGUUGUAGCCGUAAGCGAGGGAGUAAAUUGUCUUUCUAAUCUACCUCAUAUGAGAGCUAGAGCAUUUUGAUAGGUAGUUUGCCCACCACCUGUUCGAUAGAAUGUUUCUUUAACUUCUUCUCAAUGGACAUCCACCUGUUCGAUAGCUUUUUUGUGAACAUUUGAGCUUAGUGUAUUUGUGUUCUUAAUAUUACAAAAUGAUAUGAAAUAAUUGACAUUUGACACCUUUAAAUAGACUGGUGGAGUAGCUUUGACAAAUGGUUUAGUUUCCGCAAUAGAAGAAAGGUUUGUCUUAAUUUUGUUUGAUCUUGUAGCGUAUUUAAAUGCUUUGUUACCAAAUGAUUGGCUGCAAUACUGAAAUUUGGGAUGAUAAUUACUGUAUUCUUCAUAAAUGUGCUUUCUAAAUAUGCUAACAACACAUGGAAACCAUUAUAACUUAUAAGCACGUUAUCAUAUUAACAAUGUCGGCCUAAAAGUCAUAUGAUUAGUGCAUGUGAUUUUUCAUUGAUAGGUCAUAUGCAAGUAGAAUCUUGGAAGAAAAAUGCAUUCGCAUUGAUUUAAUGACCUCUAACAUCAAUUCAUUUCUUUUGGUUGUAACCAAAUUUUUAGAUUUGAGCAGUAUUGGCCUCUCUAUAGAAUAUUUCUGUUUUUUUUUAACUCGUCCUGCUUAGCCUUUUUAUAUUUCGAUAAAUCAUGUCAAUCAGAAAAUGCUAGUGUCUUGAAAGAUCUUGUUAUUAUUAUUAUUAUUAUUAUUAUUAUUAUUAUUAUUAUUAUUAUUUUGGUAAAUAUUAAGCUAAUGGAUCAAUCUUGUCUUCCUUUAUGCAGAGUCUUACAUGCCAUUCCUCCAAAUAAAGCAAUUAAUACUGUGGAGGUUAGUUUCUUUAACUUCUUUACCACCUAAUAAACGUAUAAUAAUGUAUGCGCCUAAUAAUCCAGCAUAGUAGGUGUGAAACUUAGCUUAAGGGACAUCCAUAAUAACAAAUUUGCACCUAACUACUAUUUGAUAUGUUAAUCUGUAAUUAUUAACUAUUUCUGACAACUUAGCUUAUUAUAAUUUCUGAACUAUAUCUUGGUAAUCUUGAUAUUCUGAUUGGCUUAGGCUUAAGUUUGAAAUGACAGCUCCAAUAAUUAAGUGCUUCUUAAGGUAGUGAUUAAAGUGAUUGCUAGCAUUUACUGAUCAUUUGAAGUUCUAUGGUUUCUCAAUGGCCUAAUUAAACACCUUUUUUAUUUUUCAUGUGAUAUCAGACGGUUCAUUCGUGCAGCUCAAGGAGUCAGUGAGACCCCUUCGUUGCAACUAGAGUGCUUGACAAACUACAUUGCCGAAUUGUCUUUGUUGGAGUACAAUAUGCUUUGUUAUGCUCCGUCACUAAUAGCUGCUUCUGCAAUUUUCUAGCCAAGUUUAUACUCUCCCCCUCAACCAAACCAUGGAAUGCUACAUUGAAGCACUAUACACAAAUACCAGCCUUCUGAUUUAUGUAGUUGUGUAAGGGAUCUCCAUCGACUUUGUUGCAACAAUCCUAACUCCAAUUUGCCUGCAAUUAGGGAAAAGUAUAGUCAGCAUAAGAUAUGUUGAAUUUGUGUUUUCGGUACAAAAACGUGGCCAAGAAGUAUUGCCCUCCCUCAAUACCUUCAGAAUAUUUUCAGAAUUGAGGAAAGAUACAGUUGAAUUGCCGGUUCUCAAGAGAGAAGGCCACUCUUCUCUUAUCAUUGUAUAUGUAGUUACCAUUUUUCCCACCUUGAUUAGAAGAGUUCUUGUUGUAUCUGCUUUUCAUUUUAUGUGGCAUGUUAUUUUUGCCUUCAUUUUUUUUUCAAUACAUAUAUGUAAUAUACAUAAAUAUAAAUUUAUUUGUAUUAGAAUCCAUUUUCCAUUUCAUCUUUA